UUAUCUUUGUGGUAAUUGCAGAAACUGGUUAUAACGACAAAGAGUGUGGAAUAUAUGCCAUUUUUCCUCUCACUGGCUUCUCUGGGCAAUGGUAUUGCUUGGACCACCUAUGCUUUUCUUCCUUUUGACCCUUUCAUAUGUGUUCCAAAUGGGCUUGGAACACUGUUUAGUGUGGCCCAAUUGCUACUCUAUGCAGCAUACUACAAAUCAACACAGAGGCUGAUAGCAGCAAGGAAAGCCAAGGGUGAGAUGGAUUUACAAGAGAUGAAGAUUGGUGGUAAUCGCAACGAAAUCAACGGUGCAUGAUAUAAUUUAGCAAGAUCUCCACCGUUGGAUGAUGGACUAUCGUGUUAUUUUACUGUUUGUUUUGUUUUGUUUUGAGUAAGUCAUAUAUACCCGGGUUGAAACUGGGACAGUGGGCUCUAUAAAAUGGUUUCCAACUAUUUUGGUUUUCUGUUUAAUUUGUGCCCAACAACAAAAAACUAAAGGCCAUAAAUUUGCAGAUGCAAGAAACUUUUCCAUC